CCUCCAUGACAACUAAUGUAGUGGUCAGCACCAUCAUGACCUGCACCAGAGGAAAAAGAAGACAAAUGGAUGUGUGGGAUAGCGGCAGUCAACCACAACAUAAACUUCCACAAAGUGAAGUAAGUCAAUAAGAUAGCAACGUUAAAUCUCGUGAAACCACGCGUGAUUUCAUCUCGCGGGCUUUGGAUCGUGGUUCAAAAAAGGCAUCCAUCUCAGUCAAGUCGAGCAGCCAACUCUACGUUUUUGGAGUCAGCUGAUGGAUUGUGGGUUCAAGGUGUUAUGAUAAAAUGCAGCAUUCCAGUGCAUCCCAACCAUGCCUUUACAGUCAAGGUUUCUGACGGAGCUGAGUUUCUCUCUGACAGUCUGCUGAAAGUGUUUGCAAAGUGAUCGGGGGAACAGUGCACAAAGCUAAAGGAUGUAGCUGCCAUGAUGACAGAUGACAUUAAUGCUCAAAGGGGGUCUCAUCAAAGUGCUCCGCAUCUGUGUGAAAGACAAUUGCAACAUCUUGGUGCAGGAGUUCAUGGACUUGACUGAGGCCACUGCACAGAUUGAGAAAACCACAAUGAACAUCUGUCUCCAGAGGAUGCACCAGGCAAUGACUUUUCUGAUGUUGGCAUCAUCAUCGAGGGUAUAGUAGUUCUUCAAGAUCUGGAUAACGUGACCUUUGCAGUAGCCAUGCUGUUUGGACCUUUUUUAUUCCUUCAAUAUGAGUUACCCAUCACAGCUCUGCUACACUUUUGAGGUGAUUCAAUGGGUGGUAAUGGAGUUGGAUGCAACUCAGCUCUCAAGAAAAGCUCACAACUAAGACAAAACUGCUCCUGCAAGGAAAGCUCACUGUUAUGCAUGCAAGGUGAUCAGCUCUAGGUGAGAGGACAUUUAAAUCUCACACUUGUUCUGC
ensembl:lncRNA